rnacentral:lncRNA from 1 species
AGGUGGAGGUUUCUUCACUUUCGGAGGCAAACGUCGAACGGCUCAGGGAGCAAAAUAGUAUCCCGGAGCAGUUCGAGUUCUUCGCCCCUGGGGCUGAGGGUCGGGUUAACAACCUGCCUCCGGGCCAGGUGGCCUUCUAUGUCGAGGACCUUGGGGUAGGUCUUCGCUUUUCGAUUUUGGAGUUCGUCCGAAAUGUUCUGGAUUAUUACGGGCUUUGUCCAGCU